UACAGAGGUCUCAAGCGUUGUUCGGAUUCAUUGGGCGUAAAGGGUGCGUAGGCGGCGCGGUAAGUCGGGUGUGAAAUCUCGGAGCUUAACUCCGAAACUGCAUUCGAUACUGCCGUGCUUGAGGACUGGAGAGGAGACUGGAAUUUACGGUGUAGCGGUGAAAUGCGUAGAUAUCGUAAGGAAUACCCGUGGCGAAGGCGGCCCCCUGGGCCGAACCUGACGCUGAGGCGCGAAGGCUAGGGGAGCGAACGGG
rnacentral:rRNA from 1 species